rnacentral:tRNA from 1 species
AGGCGGCUGACAGGGCUAUGUACCUGGCGAAACGUCAGGGUAAGAACAUAGUGGUGUGUAUGGAGGCGUAAGACCCGCCUGCCGCUGAC